GGGGGCCUGGGGAAGCUCCACCCACCUGCGGCCACCGCGGCACCCGCGAGGGUGCGGGCCGAGAGGCCCGGCUCCGGCACAGAAACGGAACGUCCACGUGCCGGAUGACUGAUGAGGCGUGCUAAGUCGCCGAGGAGGCAUGUGGAAACGGUGAAACGGCCGUCCCGCGGGGUGAAAGGGCAAGUAGGCACCGAUGAGGUGGCCGCCCGAGGUGCGGGUAGCCCGAUCAGAAGCAUGCCGCCUGGGAACAGAAGGUGGGCUACUACCAGCUCGC
rnacentral:RNase_P_RNA from 1 species